GUGCAGAGAGGGAGAGAGAGAAUUAUACCUCUGAGUGAAGAGACACAGAAUGGUGAGCAGGGUCCUUGGUAGGGGCUGAGAGGUGCAGGGAAGACUGGAG